CGAAUGGGGAGANUCAUCGUCAGCUCAUUUUAUAUAUAUGCUAGUUAUGAUAUGGGUUAUUACUAUACUUUGUGUAGUAUUAUUGCCUAUACAUUCUUACAUAUUUAUUUGUAAAAUGUUGUCGGCGUGCACUUCUCCUCUAGUAGAACGUCGCGACCCGUUGAGUAUUGGUCUACGGCCCAAGUGGGAUGAUUUUAAUAAAUUUUUAUUUAUUAAAAACCCCUUGGUGUUGUUUUAUCCUGACUAAAACUCGUCGGUAUAAACAAAAUAUGGUAUUGAGCCGCAUAUUAUAUGCGUCCAUAUCUGUCACAAGCAAGAUUAGUAAAAAAUAUUUUACUGACAGUACGGGCAUAGUACCGUCGUCAGUACUAAUCAGCUGUUGGUUGUACAGAAAUCUAGGACUGGCUAAAAAUAAAAUAUAUACCUGUCAGCGAUGCUACUGCUUUGGGUACUUUCAGGACCCGUCUUGAAACACGGACCAAGGAGUCUAACAUGUACGCGAGUCAUUGGGAUUAUUUAAUAAUUAAACCUAAAGGCGUAAUGAAAGUAAAGAUCGUCCUUGUGUCGAUUAAGGGAGGAUGAGCUAUAUUAUGAUAUAGCUUCGCACUCUCGGGGCGUCUCAUUCUCAUUAUGAGAAGAGGCGCACCUAGAGCGUACACNUUGG
rnacentral:rRNA from 1 species